GCAACCAUGGUGGAAUGGCAGACACGCUGUCUUGAGGGGGCAGUGGGGAGACCCGUGCGAGUUCGAGUCUCGCUGGUUGCA
rnacentral:tRNA from 2 species